rnacentral:rRNA from 1 species
AUUGAACGCUGGCGGCAGGCCUAACACAUGCAAGUCGAACGCCCCGCAAGGGGAGUGGCGCACGGGUGAGUAACGCGUGGGAAUAUGCCCUUCGGUUCGGAAUAACACAGGGAAACUUGUGCUAAUACCGGAUACGAUCUACGGAUGAAAGAUUUAUCGCCGAGGGAGUAGCCCGCGUAGGAUGAGCUAGUUGGUGAGGUAAUGGCUCACCAAGGCGACGAUCCUUAGCUGGACUGAGAGGAUGAUCAGCCACACUGGGACUGAGACACGGCCCAGACUCCUACGGGAGGCAGCCGUGGGGAAUAUUGGACAAUGGGCGAAAGCCUGAUCCAGCCAUGCCGUGUGAGUGAUGAAGGCCUUAGGGUUGUAAAGCUCUUUCGCCAGGGAAGAUAAUGACGGUACCUGGAAAAGAAGCCUCGGCUAACUCCGUGCCAGCAGCCGCCGUAA